rnacentral:tRNA from 1 species
GGGCCAGUGGCGCAAUGGAUAACGCGUCUGACUGCGGAUCAGAAGAUUCCAGGUUCGACUCCUGGCUGGCUCGCCA